rnacentral:lncRNA from 1 species
AUCUUAUAAAACUAGAGAAUCUCUAGAUCUAAGAUCCUAUUACAUGAUUAUUAUAUGAUAUUAAAUCAAAAAUUAAAAUAUAAAGAGCAUGAACUACAUGUUGAUCAUAUCAACAUGUUUCUAUACUACAUCUAAUGUAUGUAAAAUAUAAUAGAUCAGAUCUAUUAUCAUGCAAGUUAGACAUUCUAACUUUACUGAUCCAGGC